UACGAAGGGAGCUAGCGUUGUUCGGAAUCACUGGGCGUAAAGCGCACGUAGGCGGCUGUGUCAGUCAGGGGUGAAAUCCCGGGGCUCAACCUCGGAACUGCCUUUGAUACAGCACGUCUCGAGUCCGGAAGAGGUGGGUGGAAUUCCUAGUGUAGAGGUGAAAUUCGUAGAUAUUAGGAAGAACACCGGUGGCGAAGGCGGCCCACUGGUCCGGUACUGACGCUGAGGUGCGAAAGCGUGGGGAGCAAACAGG
rnacentral:rRNA from 1 species